AGUGGGAUAACUGGAUCAAAUUGGUGAUUCCAUUCCAAGUUUUUGAGGAAUCUCCAUACUGCUUUCCAGAGUGGUUGCACCAAUUUUUGCAGUUCUACCAGCAAU
rnacentral:pre_miRNA from 1 species